rnacentral:rRNA from 1 species
CCUACGGGAGGCAGCAGUAAGGGAUAUUGGUCACUGGGGGAAACCCUGAACCAGCAACGCCGCGUGAGGGAAGACGGUUUUCGGAUUGUAAACCUCUGUCCUCUGUGAAGAUGAUGACGGUUGCAGAGGAGGAAGCUCCGGCUAACUACGUGCCAGCAGCCGCGGUAAUACGUCGGGAGAGAUCGUUGUCCGGUUUUACUGGGGGUAGAGGGUGCGUAGGCGGCUUGGCAAGUAAGCUGUGAAAUCCAUGGGCUUAACCCGUGAACUGCUAUUGAAACUGGCGAGCUGGAGUGAAGUAGAGGUGGGCGGAAUUCCGGGGGUAGCGGUGAAAUGCGUAGAGAUCGGGAGGAAUACCAGAGGCGAAGGCGGCCUCCUGGGCUUUAACUGACGCUGAUGUACGAAAGCGUGGGUAGCAAACAGGAUUAGAUACCCGUGUAGUC